CAAACCCUAAUACAUCCACCGCUAUGAGUUUCACUCUAGCAGUUACAGGGCAAAAUAUUGUCAGAUUUUGGUUAUGGGUUUUUGGUAUGACAAUCCGCAAGGUUAAACGAGUCGAAUGGUGGUCUUAGUUGCUGAUUUCAAUGGGAUUUUGUGCAGAUAUUUAGGAUUUCAUUCUCCGGUACAUCUCUUCAAAAGAACAGAUCCUUCAUGCAAUCGUUUGACAAGGUUUAGCAGCAGAAAAUAAAUGGAGAACAAAGAAGGACCAAG